rnacentral:lncRNA from 1 species
CCAUGGAGUUCAUCAAGAAAACCUCUCUUAUGACUUUACUGGGUCAAAUUACGCUUUCUUAUUUAAUUAAUAUUUUAAGAGAUUCAAUCUUUGACCGCCCAACAAGUGUUGGUUGGGUUUUGUAUUCACAACUGUGCAUCUGUGCCUUGUUACAGUGCCUUCGCUUCUAGGCUUCUAAUUCCUACUUUUCCAAAUUCUAGACCCUAUAAAUGAACUAUAUUCUGCAUUAUUGUGAACCAUCAAGUUGACUGCAGAGUAGUCCUGAUUCCAGCUGGCUUCUGGUUUCAAAAUUCAAAAUUCAAAAUUCUAAGUCCCAUAAAUAAUCUCUUAAUUUCUCUCCAAUAUUAUGACUACCAUAGCUUCCAACGAGUUCAAAGAUGAGAAGGCACCCUACCCAACUCCUUACCUCUCUCUUGUUCUUUCUCUUUCCCACGAUUUUCUUCAUACAAAAGGGCAUGGCACAGAACACAACAAUACCAGUUAAAGUGGGAGUGGUUCUGGACUUGGAUACAUGGGUUGGGAAGAUGGGCUUGAGCUGCAUCUCCAUGGCCCUUUCAGACUUGUAUGCCUCUCAUGGUCACUACAAAACCAGGGUGGUUACAAAAAUCAGAGACUCCAAAAGAGAUGUUGUUGGUGCAGCUGCAGCAGGUACUAUCCCUUAAAUCUUCUCCUUCAACAGUUAAACUCAGCAGUCUAAAUAAUUUCAGAAUAAUCCGAGAGCCUGAUUGGAAAUUGUUUUUUUAGAAUAUUCAAAAAAUUGUUUUAUGUUUUUUAUUCUUAAUUUUAUAUUAUUUUCACUUGUUUUUAAAAGUUGUUGUAAGAAAUAAUUAUAUAAAUAUUAAAAAUAGAUUAAAAAUAUUUCAAGUUUUUAAAUAAACUUUUGUUUUACAAAAAUAAAAUAAUAGUUACUAAACAUGUUCUAAAUAUCUGCACCAUUUAGAAAACCAAACUUUAUUAUUCUGAAAAAAAAUAAAAAAUGAAUAAUGAAGCAAUUGAUGUUGAGUCAAUCCAUUUGCGUUUCGAGGAACAUCGUUGGACUUAUUCUCUUUGAGAAUUAAUAAACUUAAUUGGGAGCAAUUUAAUUAGCAUACCAAAAGAUAUUUGCUUUGAGUAUUCUCUUAGAAAAGCUACAAGAAUACUCUAUAAUGUUGAAUUCGUUUUGAAGUUGAUGCAUUAUUUAUAUUUAAUAUUUUUAGAAUUAGAUCAAUUAUUAUAAAAUUUAAAAAGUUAUGGUUUUAUAGUUUAGUGAUUGAACUAAUGAUUAAAUCGUUGUUGAACCAAUUGCAUUAUAAAUAUAUAAUUUAUAUAUUAUUAAAAUUUAAAAUAAUUAUAAAGUUUAUAUAUAUAUAUAUAUAUAUCUUAAAAAUAAUAAUAUAUGUUUUUCACAUUUGAUAUUAUCAAAUUUAUAUCAUAAAUAAAUAUAAAUAUAUUAAAUUUUAUUAAAUGAGUGGGUACCUUCCCAUCUAUGAUCAGAUUGUCCAUGAUUCAAAUCCCCCAAUUCUAAGAAUUUAGGAUUUUACAACAACUCACUGUCUUUGAUUCCACAUUCAACAACUCAAUAUCUCUUAUCGGUGUCAAUCAUAAUUAACCAAAGUGGAGCCAGGCCUUAAUAUAUAUUGAGCUCGGCUUCCACCCCUUCACUAUGGGCUUGGCUUUUGCUAAGAGGAAAAAAAGGUUGGCCAACCCAAAACCAACAAUGGCCUGGUUCACUGGGUCAGUGGUCCAGCUGUUGGUUUGUCUAGUUCAAGGUUGGCCCAACGUGUACUCCGGACCAAAAUAAAUAAAUAAAUAAAUUUAGAAUCUAAAAGAUAGUAUUACACUUAUGAUCCAAAAAAUUGAAAUUUAGAAUGUACAAGAUAGAACACUUGUGAUUUAAGAAAAUAUCUUGAUGAUAAAUAUGAGUAAGAAGUAGUGCAAAAGAGUCUCCAUUAAUUAUGUCAUGUUUAUUUGUUUUAUUUUUACAACUAGAUAACAUAUCUUAUUUACCACAUAAUAGGUAAGGGGUAGUAAUCAGUGUUAAAAAACUAUAAGGGUACCGGUAUUGACAUUAUUUAUGAACAUAAGUCGAAAACGAUAUGAAAUUAGUGAGAUUAGGUUAGCGGUGAUGGUUCGAUUUCAUAUUUGUGCUGAUUUAUAGAUUUUAAUUUUUUUUAAUAAGGCUUUCAUUGAUAAAUUACAAUAAUUGUAUUAUAAUUUUGGUACAUUAUUUAAAUAAAAAAAAAAAGAGAACCUAUAAUGCAGAUAAUUUUAAAUUUUAAAAUAAUUUAAAUAAAUCUUAAUUGGGAUUAAAUGAAUUAUUGAUGUAAUUUUUGGGUGAAGUUGAUAGACUUCUAACCCAAAUGGCCCUAUUUCGUUAAAUGAAUAGCAGGUUGUAUCUGGUUGAGCAUACAAUAAAUGGGUCGUCUUCCUAUCAAAUUAUAGUAUCACAUCAUAUUUUAUUAUUAUAUUUAAAAAAAAAAUCUCAUAAACAAGGUUUAGUACGCUGUUUGAUUGCUGACAGUAGAAAUUAAAAUAAAAUUAAAAAGAGAGAGAGAAGUCAGAAUCUUUAAAUUUAUUAAUUCAUUUAAAUGCUGGUUUAUCUUUUGAACCUGCGUGCUCCUGAACUCAGCUGUAGACCUCUUACAAAAUGAAGAAGUGGAAGCCAUAAUUGUUGUCGCCUCGCGUAUCCGGUGGUCCACGUUGCUGCUAGAUGGAUGGACACGUGAUUCUCAACACACAAGGGGUUCUUGAUUCAGCGGUUGUACCUACAAAAGGCAUCCGGACAGGGUGUCCGGACGCACCCUCCGAUGGUUUUGUUAGUCAUGGUAAGAGAGAGAGACAUAAAUCAGUUGGCCUUCUACUAGGUCUCAAGAGGUUACCAGGGGGAUCCCCUUCUUCUGCGUGUGAAGGCAUAUAUAUACAACUUCAGGGGUACUGCUCCUUUCAUUAAUGGUGAGGAGAUAUUUUAUGUUGUAAUGAUGAUAAUAGGUGUCAGUAGGAGCAUUAUCAUCCUACGAAUGGCUGUCAGAGACCAUGGUAGGUGAUGCGGCUGUCAGAGAUCGUGGGAAGUGGUUAUGUAGAAUGAUCGUGGGAAGUGACUUACUGUCGCUUCCUCUUGUCUUCUCACUCUGCAGGUGACAAGAUGUGGGUCAUGGCUGCUUGUUGUGAUUGCGUGUAAGACUCGCUUUACUUUAUUUGACCAUUCAGACGAUUUAUAUCCGGGUGGCUCAUGCUGAUUAUCCGGAUGUGUUGUGGAGAUUAUCCGGAUGUCUACGCUCUGCCAGCGUCGUUUGCUCUUCCUUGGAUAGGAGAAGCUGAAACGUCGUUUGCCUUUCCUUGAGGCGGUCCGGAUAGGAUAACUGCACCAUGCAUAUCCUCAGGGGAAUCCGGAUGAUGAAGGUCCGGCUGAUAACACGUGCCACGCGUCACUAUGAGCUGCGUGCCACGUGUUUCCCAAGGGGAGGGGUCCCUACANNNNNNNNNNNNNNNNNNNNNNNNNNNNNNNNNNNNNNNNNNNNNNNNNNNNNNNNNNNNNNNNNNNNNNNNNNNNNNNNNNNNNNNNNNNNNNNNNNNNUUCCUCCACUUCUCUCAGGUUCCACCCAUCUUCAUUCAUCCCAACCUUGUCCGGGUGCUGAUGGGAUGCAGCAUCAUCAACAUGCUGUACAGCCUCGACCUUACGCUACUGGAAGUGUUCUUUGUCUAUUCCCUGAAGAAAGCAAAAAAUGAUAUCUUCAGUGUGUCUGCGCACCUGCCCUCCCUUCAAAUGGUGACAGAGCUGCCAGAUUCGACAAAGGGAGGGGCGAAGGGGCUGGUGGCGGUCCGGGGUGGAUGGGCGGGGCUACCGGAGCGUGCGUCGAGGCCCUUUUCUCCAAAUUAUACCUUAAAAAUUUCGGGUAUUCUUGUUUUGCGAUUCUUUGUCCGGAUUUUACUUUGCUGAUUUUUUUUUUGCUGAUUUUCCCGGACGGAGUUCUCACCUUUUGUUGCUGUUAAUGCAGGUCUGGAAUUGAGGGGCCACCUUGUGGAUUGGGUGGAAAAGGCGUCCUUCGCCUGUGUCUGCAAAUUAUUCGAGAUAGAUCCCAAGGAGAGGGCCUACAAGACAUUGCUUUCCGCGCGAAAUUUGAUAGCGGUCGUCCGGGAGUCCCAGGAAUAUGUUAUCAAUAUUCUCCCCAGGAAACUGGCAAAGGAUGAGAUAGUGCCUGGGGAGCAUUAUACUGUGAAGGAGCUCCCCCUCUAUCAGGAAGCUAAAGAGGCUGAUGCUGAGAGACGGCGAAAGCUCCUGGAGGAUCGAGAUCAGAGGAAAAAUGAAGGCACUAUCCGGAAGGCUCCCGGACAGAAGCGGGGUCCGGAUUCUCCUCCAAAGAAAGCUCCAGCAAAAAGGAGGAAGCUGGUGAAGAAGCAUGGGAAGGAUGUGAAGGAACCCACUCCUCCCAAGGAGUUUCCUCCUCCGCAAAUUACCUAUGAGGGGGAAGUAAUGAUAGAGGAGCCAGUAAACGCUGCUCCGCAUUCUAUCUCAAGCGGCCCCGGACGCAUGUCGGGGUUGAACCAUUCGGGCACUUCCUUGGCCGCGGUUGCGCGUCUGGCUAACGUGGCUGAGGAAGCUGCAUCUAUCAACCGUCCGGGCAACCUUAAUCCGGAUGCUGAUGCAGCUGAAACGACCCCGUUGGAGGAAGCGGGGGCAGAAAGCCAAAGUCAGCCUUCCGACGACCCGGAUCGCUUGGCCAUAGUUCCGGUGAAAGGGCCUCCUUCAAAGAAGCCGCGUUCGACGCGCGAUCUACGGUCCGGACUCCUUGGGCGGCUUCAAGAGCGGCAGCAAGAGAUUGAAGUUAGCUGCGCUUCUGCCCAUGACGCUCAUCCGGAUGGAGGCGAGGUGGAGAUGGCAACUGAGACUUCGGCCGCCCCGGUAAUAAUUCCGGCUGAAGAUGUAUCCGGAUAGAUGCGUCCGGACGAAGAUGUGGAGGUCCCGAAUCCGGGACAAGAGUCACCUUCUGUUUCCUCAUCUGAGGAGGAACCUGCUGACGAUGCAGCUCCUGCUAGCCCUUUCAGCUAUGCGGAGUUGGAAGUUAAACUAAAACAGAUUACACCCGACUGGAAAGCCAUCAAGCUCUCUGCUAAGAUGUUUGAUAUGAUAGAAACGGUAUACCGUUGUCUUGUGCUUUUGCUUUUUGACUCUUUGUUGCACUGAUGUGUUUGUUGUAGUACGAUUUAUGUCUUUGCUUUUCUUGCUUGCGUGUCAGCUGGUGAGGGGCCUCCGCGGCAUGGCUCAACAACACGAUCUUUUUACUCAGCUGCUGCAGACUGCAGACUAUAUGAGGACCUUCUCCUCUCGACGCCAAGAGAUUGAAAAUCAGCUGCGUCUGAGAAUGGAGGAGGCUGAGGCCAAUCUAUCCACCAUGCGAGAGGAAAAUGAAGCCCUCCGAGUGGAGUUGGCUGAGGCGAAGAGUCGAGAAGAAUCAACUGCAGGCCGCCUACAUGAGGCGGAAGGUGAGGCAGCCCGGCUAAGGGAUGAAGUGAGUCAACUAUGGACAGAAGUUUCGAAUGAAAAGAAACAGAAGGAAGACUUGCAGCUGCGCCUGGAUGUGCAAAAAGAAGAACUUGAAAGGGAGUUUGUUGUGGAAAGGGAGGAACUUGCAGCGGAUUACCAGCAACAAGUUGAUGAUACGUUUAUCUUUGGGUAUCGCUGCUGUAUGAAGAAGAACGGUAUCAAGCGAGAUACCCCUUCGAUUCCUCCGGGUGAAGAAAAGAAGCUCUACGAGAAGCCCGCUCCCUGAUAGUUUAUCUCUUUUUGCAAUUUUUCUGCUGUAAUUUUUCCUUCUGUAUUUUUGUGGUCCGGAGAUCUCUUUGUAAUUACAUUUAUUCAUAUCAAUAAAAACAUAUUUCUUUCUCAUUUACACUUGUGUCUACUUUUUAUUGAUAGUACUGCUUUAAAUUGGACACAUUCCAUGGUCUGAGUAACGGAGUGCCAUCUAGCUUUUGUAAAUGAUAGGCUCCAUUUUUGUUUGCCUUAGACACUAUGUAGGGUCUUUCCCAAUUGGCUUGGAACUUUCCAGCACCUACUUCAGCAGUAUUCUCAAAAACUUUUCUAAGUACUAGCGUACCAUUUUUGAAGUUUCUGGGCCUGACUUUUCGAUUGUAAUGCGCUGAUGCCCUUUGUUGAUAAUCUGCUAUCCGGAUGGUCGCGCUUUCUCUGACUUCGUCUGCCCAGUCCAAAUUUCUUCCUAGUUCUGUGUUGGCAUCUUCUUGUUUUGCUGCAUCGAUCCGGAUAGUAGGAAGACCUAUUUCAGUGGGAAUGACUGCAUCCAUUCCAUAUGUGAGGGCGAAAGGAGUGUUUCCUGUUGGCCGUCCGGGUGUGGUUCGAUAGGCCCACAGGACGCCGGGCAGCUCCUCCACCCACUUCCCUUUGGCUUGCUCAAGCCUUUUCUUUAAGGCAUUGAUUAGAGUUUUGUUUGUGGCUUCCGCCUGCCCAUUGCUUUGAGGAUAACGCGGCGUGGAGUAUGAAUUCCGGAUAUUCAGUUCCGAACAGAAAUUCCUGAAUGCAAUGCUGUCAAAUUGUGGACCAUUGUCAGCUAUGAUGAUUUGGGGAAUUCCAAAGCGGCAAACAAUGUUCUUCCAUACGAAUUUGGUGACAUCUUUAUCUUUGAUGCUUGCAUAUGCUUCAGCUUCUACCCAUUUACUGAAGUAAUCAGUGGCGACAAGGAGGAAUUUCUUCUGGGCAGGUGCUGCUGGGAGGGGUCCCACUAUGUCCAUGCCCCACUGCGCGAAAGGCCAUGGGCCUGAGACCGAUUUCAAUGCUGCUGAUGGCAUAUGUGGAAUAGGAGCGUAUCGUUGACAUUUAUCACACUUUUGGACAUAUGCUGCCGCGUCUUUCUUCAUUGUUGGCCAAUAGUAUCCUUGUGAAUGAGCUCUAUGUGCCAGGGAUCGUCCUCUCGCAUGAUUUCCGCAUAUUCCUUCAUGUAAUUCAGCUAGCACAUACUGGGCCUCUGAAUGCCUAAGACAGCGAAGAUAAGGCCCUGUGAAGGAUCGCUUGUACAGGUGCCCCCCAAUCAGGGUGAAACGGGCAGCUUGCACCCGGACUUUGUGCGCUUGCUUAGGAUCUUCGGGUAAAGUGCCUGCCCGGAGAUAUUCUGCAAUAUUAUGCGUCCAUUCUUGAUCAUCCGUUUGGUUUGCCUCAAUGGUGUUGCAAGUGGAAUCUUCUGCGACAGAGGAUUUGGCUUGCACAUGUAUGGGCAGUAGAAUGGCUUCUUUGAUAGGGAGGGAGGCAGCUAUGCCGGCCAAAGCGUCAGCGUGCCUAUUGUCAGCUCGCCUAAUUUUUUCGAUUGUCCACUCGGUGAAUUGCUGUAAGGUGCUUCUUACUUUGGCCAAGUAUCGCGCCAUGCGUGCGUCCUUAGCCUCAUAUUCUUUCUGGACGUGCCUUACCACUAGUUGCGAGUCGCUGUAGAUCCGGAGUUUGGAGACGGAUAGAGCAAGGGCGAGGUCCAAUCCGGACAGGAUGGCCUCGUAUUCUGCUUCAUUGUUAGACGCGGAGAACCCCAGCCGGAUGGCUUGCUCCAGAUGUUCCCCAGUUGGGGACUGCAAUAAGAGCCCGACUCCAGAUCCUGAUGAACGUGAGGCUCCAUCAACUCGCAGAGUCCACCAUUCUUUUUUACUUGAUUCUUCAUGUUGGCCGGGUUUUCGGGAAUAUUCUAGCACGAAGUCAUCCAUUACCUGGCCUUUCAUGGAUAGCCUUGGUUGGAAUUCAAUUCCAAACUCGCUUAAUUCGAUGGCCCAUUGUAGCAUUCUCCCGGUUAAAUCUGGCUUGUGCAGAAUGUUGCGAAGGGGUUGAUCAGUCAACACGAUCACCGGGUGAGCUUGAAAAUAGGGCCAGAGCUUUUGGGCAGCGCUUCGAAGGGCUAAGGCUAUUAGCUCCAUUUUUGAAUAUCUGGUUUCUACGUCUGUCAAUGCCCUGCUGACAUAGUAGAUGGGCUUCUGCUCCUUGGGUGAUGGGCAGCGGAAUAGAACCGCACUGAUUGCCCAUUCUGAGACUGCCAAAUACAUGUAUAGUUUCUCUUUUGGGAUGAGGCUGCUCAAGAUGGGUGGUUGCAUAAGACAAUGCUUAAUCCUUUCCAAAGCGCUUUGGCAACUGUCUGUCCACCCAUGCGCUCCAGCUUUUCGUAUUGCCAAGAAGAAGGGUCGCAACUCAUCGGUAAAGCGGGCUAUGAAACGUCCUAACGCAACGAGCUUGCCUGUGAGACGUUGUAUCUCCUUCUUGUUCCUGGGAGGAGGUGUUUCCAUAACUGCCUUGACUUGAUCCGGGCUGACUUCUAUGCCCCUUUGGCUGACCAUAAAUCCUAGAAAUUUGCCAGCACUCACGCCAAAGACGCAUUUAGAAGGAUUUAACUUCAUGCCAUACCCUCGUAAGAGGUGAAAAACUUCUUGCAAAUGAAGGAUAUGUUGUUCUCGAGUUUUGCUUUUAACCACGAUAUCGUCAAUAUAUACCUCUACUGAGUGGCCUAUCAGAGGUUUGAAGAUUUUAGUCAUCAAUCUUUGAUAAGUGGCGCCAGCAUUUUUGAGUCCGAAUGGCAUGACUUUGUAGCAGUAAAGGCCAUGUGGUGUUAUGAAUGCUGUCUUUUCUUCGUCAUCCGGAGACAUGGGAAUCUGGUGAUAUCCGGAGAAGGCAUCCAAGAAAGAGAGCAUCCCUUGCCCGGAAGUGGAAUCCACAAUUUGAUCUAUUCGUGGUAAUGGAAAACUGUCUUUUGGACAUGCGUUAUUGAGAUUGGUGUAAUCAACACAGACUCGCCAUUUGCCCUCUUUCUUUGGUACCACCACUACAUUUGUCAACCAAUCCGGGUAAGAUACUUCUCUGAUGAAUCCGGCUUCCAGCAAUUUGUCAAUUUCAUUUCGGAUAACUUUUUGUCUAUCCGGAUGAAAGCGUCUAAUCUUCUGUCGAACGGGUCUGGCUGCUGGAAAAACGUUAAGCUUGUGAGAGGCAAUAGAGGGAUGAAUUCCUUUCAUAUCCGAAUGUGUCCAUGCGAAGAUGUCAUGGUUGCUUCGAAGGAUAUUUUGUAUGCUCUGAGUUUCUUCUUGUGUCAUGAGGGAACUGAUGUUCGUGAGGUGAUCGCUUUCCUCCGAAAUUUGGAUUGUUUGUAAGGGAUCUGCUGCCGGGGGAUCUUUGUCCGCCGGACCCAAUAAUUGCUAUUGGUCGUGUGCAAUGCUGGGUUCAGGGGGAGAUGCAUCCUCCUGGCUAGUUCCCGCUUCUCGUGCUAUUUGAUAGCACUGUCGAGCGGCCAACUGGCUGCCAUACAAGUCAGUUUGCCCUUCGUUGGUGAGGAAACUCACCAUUUAAUGAUAUGUGGAAGGGAUGGCCUUCAUGUAGUGAAGCCAUGUGUGUCCCAAGAUGACAUUGAAGGGUGAUAACUCUUGUACCACCGAGAAUUGCACGUUGAGAGUGACUGGGCCAGCUUGGACCGGCAGUAUAAUGUCUCCUAAGGAUGUGGUUGAUGACCCGUUGAAUCCGGAUAAGAUUCUUCCGGGGUUUUCGAGACCUGCGAGACUAUGUCCCAUAUGGCCAACGACUGAUGCUUGCACCAGAUCGGCUGAACUGCCUGGGUCGACCAAGAUACGUCUUACAUCGAAAUCUCCUAUUUCUAGGGAGAGGAUGAGGGCGUCGCGAUGUGGCUGUAGCGUCCGGGUGGGAUCUACUGGUGGGAAAAUGAUUGUCCCAUCUAUGGGGCGAGGGCCCUCUCCAGUGAGACCCGGCCGGAUGGAAUUAAUGCGUUCGCGUAUUGACGCGGCUCGCAGCAAUUUCUGCCUUUUCCGCCUGGAAUCGUAUUCCUCGUCAGAUGGGCCCCCGUUGAUAUAGUUUAUGACAGCCUUGGGGGCGACUGGGGUCCUCGGGGCCCUAGAGUUAUGAUGUUGAGAUGCGUCCCUUCCUCCAGUAUCUGAGCGGAGGUACUGUUUUAAAUGUCCUACUUUGAUGAGCCUUUCAACCAGAUACUGGAGGGACCGACAUGUCUCUGUUGUAUGACCAUGGUCUUUGUGGAAGGUGCAUUUCUUGCUGCGGUCUCUCAUGGAUGGGUCCGUUUCGAGGGGUCUAGGCCACCUGAAGUCGGACAACCCUUGGAUCAUUGGAAGAAGUUUUUCGUAUAACACGGAUAGGGGUGUGAUGGGCGGCCUAUCCGGACGACUCGGCCCGUCCUUCCUCCGGUCAACUGGUUUUGGCCGGUCCGGAGGUUUGGCAUGUCUGUUCGCGUCAUCUCUGGAAGCCCGUCCGGCAACCAAAACUUGCUGAGUGGCUGCACGUACGUCAUCUUCGAGCAUUGAAUAUUUGUUAGCACGUCUGAACAAAUCGUCCAUCAUUGUAGGAGGCUUUUUGGCCAGCGAUUCGAAAAAUGGAGUGCCUGGACAGAUGCUUCUCUUGAAGAUCUGUAGGACAGCAUCCAUGCUGCAAGCCUCUAUUUGAAGUACGGCUUGGCCAAAUCGUUUCACAAAUUCCCUCAAGGAUUCGUUGUCUCUCAUUUUUAUGUUCUGGAGGGUGCUGAUAUUCUGCUUGUGUCGAGCAGAGCACAAGUACUGUCCCACGAAAGCUUCAGAUAGGUCCCUGAAAUUGUCAACAGAGUUAGGAGGUAGGCGAUGAAACCAUGAGAGGGCCUGCCCUUGAAGGCUGGCGGGGAAUACUUUGCAUAGCAAUGCAUCGUUGCCAAUAUCGAGCGUCAUAAGCUGUCGAUAGUGCAUGAUGUGAUCGAAGGGAUCGUUGGUCCCAUCGUAUGUGGAAAACUUUGGUACGAGGAAUCCCCUUGGGGGCUCGUAAUGGGUGAUAUGAGAGCAAAAGGGCGUGGAGAGCACGUCAUCCAGCCUUUUGCUGAUGGAGCCAAUGGGUGGCUCGUUUGGGAGGUUUCUCCCAGCUGGUCGUUCCGCUAGGUGUGAGUGAACGUUCCGCAUCGCUGGGGUGACCAUGGGGUCACGAUGCGGAGAUACGUUCUGCACCAUGGGAGCGAUCAUAGGAUCGGGGCGUGGUGCCCGGGUCGUGGCUACUGGUGGCCUUGAUCUCCCAGGCUCUUGUGGGCCUAGUCUUGCGCGCAUAGAACUUGACAACUGUGAUUUUCUAUCACGUUGUCUCUUUGCUGAAAAAUGAGUGGAAUCUGAGCUUUCCUCACUGGGAGCUCGAGGCAUAGGUGUACGUGGCUCAUGGGGCCUUGCGUUGUAUGCUCUUGGGACAACUCCUGUUGACCCAGGAUAUAUUGAUUCUGGCUCUGGCCUUGAGUUUGCCACCUGGCCUCUUGAACGCUGACGACGAGGAGAACCUGACGUUGAGGCUUGAAUGCGUAACACAACGUUUUCUUCCCUUAACCUCACCGUCUCCUGGAGGAGAGCUCUUAGCUGUUUUUCGCUCGCCAACUGUCUUUUUUCGAUGGCCUGACGCCAUUCGAGAUUAUCUUCCUCCCCUCUACCGGAUGAUCGACUUUGGGAAGGUGUGGCCAUCUUUGCUAGUGACUGAAUCAAAAUAAAAAGUAAAGCUUCCCACAGACGGCGCCAAUGUUGUCGCCUCGCGUAUCCGGUGGUCCACGUUGCUGCUAGAUGGAUGGACACGUGAUCCUCAACACACAAGGGGUUCUUGAUUCAGCGGUUGUACCUGCAAAAGGCAUCCGGACAGGGUGUCCGGACGCACCCUCCGAUGGUUUUGUUAGUCAUGGUAAGAGAGAGAGACAUAAAUCAGUUGGCUUUCUACUAGGUCUCAAGAGGUUACCAGGGGGAUCCCCUUCUUCUGCGUGUGAAGGCAUAUAUAUACAACUUCAGGGGUACUGCUCCUUUCAUUAAUGGUGAGGAGAUAUUUUAUGUUGUAAUGAUGAUAAUAGGUGUCAGUAGGAGCAUUAUCAUCCUACGAAUGGCUGUCAGAGACCAUGGUAGGUGAUGCGGCUGUCAGAGAUCGUGGGAAGUGGUUAUGUAGAAUGAUCGUGGGAAGUGACUUGCUGUCGCUUCCUCUUGUCUUCUCACUCUGCAGGUGACAAGAUGUGGGCCAUGGCUGCUUGUUGUGAUUGCGUGUAAGACUCGCUUUACUUUAUUUGACCAUUCAGACGAUUUAUAUCCGGGUGGCUCAUGCUGAUUAUCCGGAUGUGUUGUGGAGAUUAUCCGGAUGUCUACGCUCUGCCAGCGUCGUUUGCUCUUCCUUGGAUAGGAGAAGCUGAAACGUCGUUUGCCUUUCCUUGAGGCGGUCCGGAUAGGAUAACUGCACCAUGCAUAUCCUCAGGGGAAUCCGGAUGAUGAAGGUCCGGCUGAUAACACGUGCCACGCGUCACUAUGAGCUGCGUGCCACGUGUUUCCCAAGGGGAGGGGUCCCUACAAUAAUAGGGCCCGGAUCAUCGACGCAGGCCAACUUCAUGAUCAGUCUUGGAAGCAAAGCUCGGGUGCCCAUCAUUUCCUUUUCUGCAACAAGUCCCUCUCUUUCUUCGCUUCAGAGUCAAUAUUUUAUCCGAGCUACCCUAAAUGACUCAGCUCAAGUACCAGCAAUAAGGGCAAUAGUCCGGGCCUUUGGGUGGAGAGAAGUUGUGCUUAUUUACGUGGACAAUGUGUAUGGCGAUGGAAUUAUACCUUAUAUGACUGAUGCCUUGCAAGGGAUCGAUGUCCGUGUCACUUACCGUAGUGUAAUUUCUCCAUCAGCCACUGAUGAUCAAAUUGGUGAAGAGCUUUACAAGCUGAUGACAAUGCAAACUAGAGUUUUCAUUGUACACAUGUGUACACCUCUGGGGUCUUACCUUUUUACCAAAGCAGAUGAGAUUGGAAUGAUGGAAGAGGGCUAUGUUUGGAUACUAACUGAUGGGCUAACCGACCUCUUGAGUACUUUGGAUCCCUCAGUCAUUGACUCAAUGCAGGGGGUGUUGGGCGUAAAGCCUCAUGUUCCAAGAACAAAAGAGCUCGAAAAUUUCAGAGUCCGAUGGAAAAGGAAGUUCCGGCUAGAUCAUCCAAAAGAUGAGACCUCUGAGCUGAACAUUUUUGGAUUAUGGGCUUAUGACGCUGCUUCUGCACUAGCCAUGGCUGUUGAGAAAGUUGGGGCAACAAACUUCAGCUUCCAAAAGACUAAUAUUUCCAGCAAUUCGAUGCUUCUUGACACCAUUAGAGUCUCUCAAAUUGGUACAAAUCUUCUCCAGUCACUGUUAAGUACCAAAUUGAAAGGUCUCAGUGGAUAUUUUCAAAUAUUUGAUGGGCAACUUCACUCGACAGCCUUUGAGAUAGUUAAUGUGAUUGGGAAAGGGGAAAGAGGGGUAGGAUUUUCAACUAAGCAACAUUUCUUUUCUUCACUAGGAAGACUUUUCUUUGUUAACCACACGAUGGUUCAAAGACGCAAAAGUCUCCAUGAAUUAAAUUUCCCCCUUGGUUUAAAAGUGACGCGUAUGACCUAUGGCACUAAGAAAUAAUGAGAUGUAGAAUGGAAGGCAUAUAAAAAAAUUAAGGUUAUCUCCAAGAAAAUCUCUGACAUAUAUGGUCCACCUUUCUGGUAUAACAAGAUUUAUGAUUAUUUCACGAAUUCUAGAAUGUAUGGGACCAAGGGGAUGUAUUUUCCUUUUUUGUGCGUACCUUGUUUGAUUUCUGAUAAUAUAGUAGAAAUAGAAUGAAACAUUAGAAUCAUAAAAUUUUAAUUAUUGUGAAAUUCAGCUCUAGAUUUAUUACAAAAUGAGGAAGUUCAAGCCAUCAUAGGACCAGCAUCCUCCAUGCAGGCCAACUUUGUGAUUGGUCUCGGAGACAAGGCUCAUGUGCCCAUCAUUUCAUUUUCCGCAACUAGUCCUUUCCCUUUCUUCGCUCCGGAGUCCAUAUUUUGUCCGAGCCACACUGAAUGACUCAGCUCAAGUACCAGCUAUAAUGGCAAUUGUCCAAGCCUUUGGGCGGAGAGAAGUUGUGCUCAUUUACGUGGACAACGAGUAUGGAAAUGGAGUGAUACCAUAUCUUACUGAUGCCUUGCAAGAGAUUGACACCCGUAUCUCCUAUUGGGAUACCAUAUCUUACUGAUGCCUUGCAAGAGCGUCAUUCAUCCAUUAGCCACUGAUGAUCAAAUCCUCGAAGAGCUUUACAAGUUGAUGACGAUGCCAACCAGAGUUUUCAUUGUACACAUGCUUACACCUCUAGGCUCACGGCUUUUCACCAGAGCGAAUGAGAUUGGAAUGAUGAAAGAAGGUUAUGUUUGGAUUCUAACUGAUGGGUUAACUGAUAUCUUGAGUACUUUGGAUCCAUCUGUCAUUGAUUCAAUGCAAGGAGUGUUGGGCGUGAAGCCUCAUGUUCCAAGAUCGAAAGAGCUUGAAAGUUUUAAAAUCAGAUGGAAAAGGAAAAUCCAACAAGAAUAUCCAAACAAGAAAAUCACUUUAUAUUGAUUUUCUGGAGUUGAUUUUCUUUUUCACACUUAAAUUUUGUUAACAGAGGAGAGAGUUGUCAGCAACUUGGCUCGGUUUGUGGUGAUCAUAUGGCUUUUUGUGGUGCUGAUUCUUACUCAAAGUUACACAGCCAGCUUGACUUCAAUGUUGAGAGUUCAACAGCUCAACCCAACCAUCACCGAUAUAAAUGAGCUGAUAAAGAAAGGGGAGCGUGUAGGUUGCCAACAUGCCUCUUUCGUUCAUGAAUUCUUGAUCAAAUGGAUGAAAUUUGAUGAGUCCAAGCUUGUAAUCUAUGAGUCACCAGAAGAACUGGAUGAAUUAUUUUCAAAAGGUGGAAUUGCUGCUGCAUUUGAUGAAAUCCCUUACAUGAAGACUUUCCUCCCAAAAUAUUGCUCCAAAUACACUGCAGUGGGACCAAGAUACAAGUUUGAUGGGUUUAGAUUUGUAAGUACUCUCUCCUAACACACGUACGUGUAUAAAUUUUCAUACCGAGGUUUCUUAUUUUUUGAUAAUUUUUCAGGUGUUUCCAAAGGGUUCACCCCUUGUAGCUGAUGUUUCAAGGAAAGUCUUAAACGUGACCGAGGGAGCCAAAAUGCUACAAUUUGAGAAGGCGUGGUUUGGGCAAACACCCAGUUGUCCAGAGCUCACCAGCUCAGUUUCUUCAGACAGCAUCGGGCUUAAUAGAUUUUGGGGCCUAUUCCUCAUUGCUGGAGUCGCUUCAUUUGUAGCUCUCAUCACAUGCAUCAUCACAUUCCUUUAUGAAAAUAGAGACGCAUUAAUAAACUUGAAUCCCUCAUCUUCCAUAUGGAGAAAAUUUAAAGCCAUGGUGACACGCUUUGACCACAAAGAUCUUAGGUCCCAUACUUUUAGAAAAAGUGAUCAACUUCAAGACAAGAGGCAUCAAAUCCAUGGAUGCAGCUACACCAACUUCCCUCCAAGUCCAUCGAGCCUUUUGAUCCCAACCGCCAACAAUUUUGCUUUCUUCGGAGAACAAGGAACACCUUCUUCUGGACAUGCUGAUCCAGUCGGUCCAAAUCGGCGGAUGUCUCCACAUAUAUUGUUUGAAUAUGAGCUUGCUAAUAUAAAUCACGAGCAAACGAAGACCGCAUGUAAUUGAAUAACCGAUAGAUCAAUUCGGUUUCCUGUGGUCCUUAUGCCGGUGGCACAAUUACCCACAACCAUGAAUUAAAAAAAAAAAAAAAAUGUUGUUGUGUUAUAGCCAUACGCAUUUCAGUUAAAUGAUUGUUCAAUGCCAACUAUUUGCUAUGAACAAUAAAUUCUGUCAAAUUUACGAAUUUAUUGUUGCCUAACGCAACAGGUCAACUUCUUGUGCUUUACAGGCAAAAAAAAAAAAAAAAAUCAAUAUUUGUGGUUGACAUUGCUUCCCCACACACAACAUCUUGAUCAAUGGAGGGAAUGUAAAGACAUAUAUUCAUUUUCAAGGUUAUUCUUUAGUGCAGUUCUUUUUGUUCCUAUUUGAAAAGUAAAACUAUAAUUAUAAGAUUUUUUGGAGAUCUGUGAUGAUAGUGAAGGACUCUCCUCUCUUGUACCAUUCUUUUAAUACAGUAGAUUUCCUUCUCUGAUUAUGGUUUUUUUGGUCAAGAGUUUUUCAGGUAAAUUUAUAUGUUUUUAUUCUUUUUUUUAUUUUUUAUUUUUAUUUUUUUAUUGUCUGUUCUCAUUAUUGUGUAACAUAAUUCAUUAAUUCUGAAUGAUGUAAUUUUUUGUGAGAAUAAAUAAUUUUUAUUUAAAAAAUAUUUUAAAAAUUAUCAUUUUCAUUCCAAGGGUAGCCACAUAUCAUCAUAAACCUAUUAAAUUCCAUGCGUCCGAAUGCAGAAGAUGAUAGGUCUAUCACCAUGUGAGUACUGCCAACUGCCACCAACACUAGUGAAUAUUAUUGGAAUUCAACUACAUGCUACAGGCGAUGAAUAGCUCCAUGGAGUUCAUCAAGAAAACCUCUCUCUUAUGACUUUACUGGGUCAAAUGCUAGCGCAAGAAGCAAGCUAAAAUGUGUGUUUCCAUGGAAGAACAUUUAUAAGGAUACAUUCUUAUCAUGAUUUCAUCAUUAUAUAUAAGUUACGUUUUCUUAUUUAAUUAGUAUUUUAAAAGAUUCAAUCUUUGACCGCCUUAACUCGCCCAAGUAUUGGUUGGGCUUUGUAUUCACAGCUAUCCAUCUGGGUCUUGUUACAGUGCCUUCGCUUCUAGGCUUCUGAUUCUUGCUUUUCCAAAUUCUAGGACCUAUAAAUGAACUGUAUUCUGCAUUAUUGUGAACCAUCAAGAAUCCGAAACAAACAAACCUCCUCUUUGGGGUGGUUAAUUGCUUACUUGUUUUGGACACAGGUUCAUCUGUAUCUAUCAUAAAAAACUUCUGUUUGAAAAAAGAAUCCUCUCCACUUGGUUUGAAAGAAGAUAAAGGAAAAGGGCAAAUGCUGAAUUUUCCUCCGCUCAAGUUGUAUUUUCUGGUGGGCUUUCAACGUGAGAAUAACAAGAAAAUCAAAAGCUUUAAUUUCUUGUGACCCCUUUAAUUUAUAGUCUCAAGAUGGAUGAAAUGAUAUAAAUAAUCUCCGUCUCAUCCCUUUUUUUCUCCUUUUUGUUUAGGUGUAAUGAGUGAAGCAAAGAACUAAUUUGUAUUUUUUCCCUUAUCAGUCAAUGCUCUUACACCUAAUGACAUACGAGACCCGUUAGAUUCCAAGACCAAGACAUUACUUGCAUCAUAAGUUUUUGGGAGCCAUGCAUAUGCUAAAAUUGAGAGAGAAAGAGAGAGAGAGAAAGAGAGAGAGAACUACUCUUAUUUAAUGCUUAUUAAUUGGGAUUUAGACCCAUUGGAGUCAUAGCAUGUGUGGGUAGAAAAAGACAAAAUUCCGAGAUGACGUCCUUUCACUUAUAAGUUGCUCAGUCUUAUCUUCAAGACAGCGAAUUGUAAGAAAAUAUUUGCCUUACAUUUGGUAUACAAACAUAAUCUAAAUGCAUGCCAAGCACUACCAUCAAACGCUGGUAACUUCGAAAUAUCUUGUAGCUAACUGCCAAAGAUGUGAACUUCUACAUGUUCCAUAAUAUUUCCAACAACACAUGAUUUCAUGGCGAAGCUGAGUAUUGGAAUUCAAAUCAGUAGAAUACAAGAAAAAUAAUAUUGAAUAGUAAAGCUUGAAUUAAUCU